UACGUAGGGUCCGAGCGUUGUCCGGAAUUAUUGGGCGUAAAGGGCUCGUAGGCGGUUUGUCGCGUUGUUCGUGAAAACUCACAGCUCAACUGUGGGCGUGCGGGCGAUACGGGCAGACUGGAGUACUGCAGGGGAGACUGGAAUUCCUGGUGUAGCGGUGGAAUGCGCAGAUAUCAGGAGGAACACCGGUGGCGAAGGCGGGUCUCUGGGCAGUAACUGACGCUGAGGAGCGAAAGCGUGGGGAGCGAACAGG
rnacentral:rRNA from 1 species